UUUUCCUUGAACAGCAAGAUGACAAGUCUGACCCCAGUUACGUUAACAUGGCUGGAAGUUGAAAGCCUGCAACGAGGAUUUCAUUUUCAACCAUUUCUGUAAAACGUGGCUGUGAAGACGUUGGUCAGAUGAACGGCUGUGCCUGGGAGUCACAAGUCACAAAACUACUCGCCUGGGGAGAGCAGACACAGUACUAGGGCCUCGGAGAAUGGGAGUAAAGAGAUGGGAAAAAAAAUAAGUAAAAUGACAUUUCCGAAAUUAUGCAGCUGGUAUGUUACAAGCAUCAAUCCAGAGCCAGGAAGAGGAUCAAAGGUAGAACAUUGACAGGCCCCGCCCCCUUCUUCAUCCAAAUGGCCACUGCUCUGAUUGUCCAUUAUGCGAUCAACAGUUAACCCCAGGGGACAGCAUCUAGGAUUUCCUAGGAUGGCUUUAUCAGCCUCCUUCCCUGCAGACUGUGUGGUGCAUCUUGGGAAGAGAAACUCAAAUUAACUACCAAAAGCAUUCACUGUGGACCAGGAAGGCAUCAGAUGUAAGAUACAGGUAA